UUUUUUGCAACAACGUUUAGGCAACGACAUGAGCGCGGGCUUUAGAACAUUCUGGGUCCUUUUAUAACAACGACUUUAGUUGUUGCUAAUUUUGUCUGUAAUUAUUGCAACGACAUAUGUCUUUACUUAUCUUUAUACAGGUCUAUUGCAACGACAAUGCUUUGUUGCCAAAUAUUUCACAUUUUACUGCAACGACAUUGUUGUUGCAAAAAUUUUAAAAAAAAGAACUGAAAAUUCAAAGCUAAACAUCCUAAAACAAAACCCACAAAAAUUACUCUCCUAAUUUCCCACCAAGUCUCAUCAUCUCGGGGAGUCAGGGUUUUUCCCUUUCAAACCCCCGCCACUCUAUCGUCCUCACGUCUCCACUGGACCGCUACCACCCUGUCCCCCGCCACUCCAUCGUCCUCAAUUCUCUGUUGUCAUCCUCCCUCCUCUGCCACCAUUCGGUCAUCCGGUCCUCAAUUCUGGGUUUUUAUUGCUGUUCGGUCAUCCGGCGUCAUCCUCAAUUCGGUCCUCCUGAGUUCUCCGUCGUCCUUAAUUCGGUCGUCCUGAGUUCUCCUCCGUCGUCCUCCUCUGUCAUGUUGUUAUUCUUCCUCAAUUCGUAGUAAGGCUGCUGGUCGACCACUGUCAACCGCCGCGAACGUUUAGGAUUUGAGGAUAACUACAACCACAAAGAAGAGAGGUUUAUCAUAGCAGCUCAUCUUUUCUGACAAUUCGUUCACAACUCUCUUGUUGGACCCACUAGUCUCGGAAGGAACAUAGAUGUUUAUUUACAACCCUUAAUUGAAGAAUUAAUUGAGCUUUGGGAGGUUGGGGUUGAAACAUUUGAUGAUCGUGCCAAGCAGAAUUUUAACAUGCGUGCAAUGUUGUUAUGUACAAUUAAUGACUUCCCUGCUUACGGCGAUCUAUCAGGUUGGUGUACAAAAGGUACGUAUGCUUGUCCAGCUUGCCACAAGGAUGCUAGACGCACUUCACUAAAGCAUAAAGGUGGUUACUUAUAUCAUCGUUGUUGGCUGCCUCAUAAUCACAAAUGGAGGAAGGAUGCCAAAUCUUUUAAUAAUAAGAAAGAAAGGCGACAUGCACCUGUUCCUUUAACUGGGGAUGAAGUAUUAGAAUGUUUCAACCAAUUCGAGCAUAAGAAGUUUGGCAAACUCGCUGGACACAAGAGAAAAUGGGAUGCUUCCAAUAGCUUGUAUGGUUGGCGUAAGAAAAGCAUUUUCUUUCAAUUGCCUUAUUGGAGAAAGUUGCUUAUACGACAUAAUUUAGAUGUCAUGCAUAUUGAGAAAAACGUGUCUGAUAACAUUUUGGGGACUUUGAUGAAUAUAAAAGGCAAGACGAAAGACACAGUAAAAGCUGGAAUUGAUUUGAUGAAAAUGGGUAUUCGGGAGGAGCUUCAUUCUAUAUUAGAUGGAGAUAAAGUACAAAUUCCAGUAGCAAAUUACACUCUAAAUUCAAAUGCUAAGGCAGCCAUAUGUGACAUGUUUGCUGGAAUUAAGUCUCCUGAUGGGUACUUAUCGAAUAUUUCUCGAUGCGUCAAGGACAAUGGGAAAAAAAAAUCUUGCAUGAAGAGUCAUGAUCGUCAUAUUUUUAUUGAGCAGCUUCUACCACUUGCAACUCGUGGGUUUUUGCCAAAGAAUGUUUAUGAGCCUUUAGUUGAGUUGAGUUAUUUCUUUCGAAAUCUUUGCUCAAAAAAUAUUACAAUAGAGGAACUAGAUGCACUUGAAAAACAAAUCCCUUACAUAUUGUGUAAACUAGAGAUGAUAUUUCCUCCAGCAUUUUUCGAUGUUAUGGUGCAUUUAGUAAUACAUUUGGCAGCGGAGGCAAAGAUUGCAGGCCCUGUUCGAUAUCGAUGGAUGUACCCGAUCGAGAGGUACCUUCGAACUUUGAAAAAAUACAUACGAAAUAGAGCACAACCAGAGGGUUGCAUUGCAGAAGGAUAUCUAGCUAAUGAGUGUCUAACAUUUUAUUCAAGAUAUAUGAGUGAUAUUGACACUAAAUUCAAUCGUAAAGGGAGAAAUGAUGAUGAUGAUGAUGAUGAUGAUUGGAAGGAGGGUGCUUUAAGAAGCAAAUUAGAUGUGUUCAGUCUAAUUGGUCGUCCUUUAGGACAAGGAGUGCCAUUACACCUUAGUUUUGAGGAGUGCGAUCAAGUUCAUCUGUACAUUCUAGUCAAUUGUGAUGAGCUUUCUGAUUUUGUAAAGGAACAUAAGCAAAUGUUGGAGCAUGAGAAUCCAAGAAAUGUGGAACAAAGACAUAGAAUGCGAUUCGCAAAGUGGAUAUAUGAUCGUGUGCGCAGUCUCCAUGAAAAAGGGAGCAUUGAUGAAGAUAUAUAUAAUUUAGUUUGUUUCCCGUCUAGAGUAGUCAGACGUUAUGCGGGUUACAUUGUAAAUGGUUUUCGGUUUCACACUGAUGGUCGGUGCGAAAAUAGAAAAACUCAAAAUAGUGGAGUCAUGGUACGAGGAGAUGAUGUUUCUGACAAAGAAUAUUAUGGUGUAUUAAAAGACGUGUUUGAAGUGUUGUACCCUAGUGGGAAUCGGGCAUUUGGUUUUAAAUGUGUUUGGUUUGAUGUACGACAUCAUGGGAAAGGAUAUAAGGUGGAUGAUCAUGGAUUGAUAAGUGUGAAUAAGAGAUAUUCUUUAAAAACAGAUGAAGUUUAUGUCUUAGAAUCACAAGUGGAGCAAGUGUUCUAUGUUCAAGAUCCAAAAAAUCAAGAGUGGAAUUUUGUUAUAAAGACUCAACCUAGAGAUCUAUAUGAUAUGCCCGUGAAAGAUAUGGAUCAAGGUGUAGAUGUAGACGCAAGUCAGCAAGUAGAUGCAAAUCAAACUAAGUGUGACAUUUUCAGACAUGGAAAUGAUGAUUUUGUAGUCGACUCGUUAAGCACUAAUACUUUUAUGGUUGAGAAAUAGCCAAGUGUUGUGAAAAUGGUUAGGAACGCGUUUGAGGAGAUUGGAAAAGAUGACAAAUUCAUUAAUGGUGGUGAUAUUGAAUAUUAUGAAAGUACAAGUGACGAAGAAGAGUUGAGCUACGAGUCAUCAGAAUGAUGUCAUUUGUACUAUCUAGGAAUCUGAUAGGUUAGGAAAGGCGAAAAAUGAUUGGAAGAGGGGGAAGCAAGAAUGUGGGCAAUCGUUUAAAGUAUGGAAAUGACACUCGUUAUCGUAAUGUUGGCGAAAGAAUUCCCGUUCAAAAUGAAUGUAACAACAAUACCACGAGGCAUAUCAAUCAGGUUGAAAAUGAUGAUGAGCGAACUCAAAUGCAUGAUGCUAACAUUCAGUCAAGUGAAAAUUCUUUUGAAAAUGAAUCAGAGGGAAAAUUUUCACCCAACAUCGAAGCGAGUCAAUUAGGUAAGAGGAAAAGGGCAAACAAGUUGAACGGAAGGAUAAAUAUGGCUAUGCAAGCAACUGAAGAUGCAGAACCUCCUAUUAGAAGGGAGGGGGAUGAUAGAAAUGUUAAUCGGCAUCAACAAAAUGAAGGAGCAAGAAACAAUGGGUUUGGACACUUAGUUGCUAAUGGAGAUAAUGCUCCUAAUACUGAAGGUUGCAUGGAAAAGUAAAGUGGGGAAACUAUUUUUUGGUGCUAUGAUGCAUGUGUUUGCUUGAAAGUUACUCGAUAGAAGAAUGCUUUUGGAGAAUAUUUGUAAGUAGAUGAUUUGAAUAUUUGAUAUAGUAAUUGCCUUAUUCGUGAUGAUGGAGCAAUAUUUUCGAGCUUUUGAUGAAAUAUGUAAAUUUUUUGGAUGUUGUUCAAUGUAAGUUUGGAUGGAUAUAUGUCUUUUGGAUGACGAUGAGAAUAUAUUACUCUUUUGGAUAUGAAAACUUGAUAUAUAUGAUAUAUUGGAUGGAUGGAUUUUAUA